GACGAACGCUGGCGGCGUGCUUAACACAUGCAAGUCGAACGGUGAAGGUGGAGCUUGCUCCGCCGGAUCAGUGGCGAACGGGUGAGUAACACGUGGGCAACCUGCCCCUCACUUCGGGAUAACUCCGGGAAACCGGGGCUAAUACCGGAUACGACCUCCUUGGGCAUCCUUGGAGGUGGAAAGUUUUUCGGUGAGGGAUGGGCCCGCGGCCUAUCAGCUUGUUGGUGAGGUAGUGGCUCACCAAGGCGACGACGGGUAGCCGGCCUGAGAGGGCGACCGGCCACACUGGGACUGAGACACGGCCCAGACUCCUACGGGAGGCAGCAGUGGGGAAUAUUGCGCAAUGGGCGAAAGCCUGACGCAGCAACGCCGCGUGCGGGAUGAAGGCCUUCGGGUUGUAAACCGCUUUCAGCAGGGAAGAAGCCGCAAGGUGGCGGUACCUGCAGAAGAAGCACCGGCUAACUACGUGCCAGCAGCCGCGGUAAUAC
rnacentral:rRNA from 1 species